UACGGAGGAUGCAAGCGUUAUCCGGAAUCACUGGGCGUAAAGCGUCUGUAGGUGGUCAAAUAAGUCAACUGUUAAAUCUUGAGGCUCAACCUCAAAAUCGCAGUCGAAACUAUUCGACUAGAGUAUAGUAGGGGUAAAGGGAAUUUCCAGUGGAGCGGUGAAAUGCGUAGAGAUUGGAAAGAACACCGAUGGCGAAGGCACUUUACUGGGCUAUUACUAACACUGAGAGACGAAAGCUAGGGUAGCAAAUGGG
rnacentral:rRNA from 1 species